rnacentral:rRNA from 1 species
UACGGAGGGUGCAAGCGUUGUUCGGAUUUAUUGGGCGUAAAGCGCGUGUAGGCGGUUUCUUAAGUCUGAUGUGAAAGCCCUGGGCUCAACCCAGGAAGUGCAUUGGAUACUGGGAAACUUGAAUACGGGAGAGGGUAGUGGAAUUCCUAGUGUAGGAGUGAAAUCCGUAGAUAUUAGGAGGAGCACCGGUGGCGAAGGCGGCUACCUGGACCGAUAUUGACGCUGAGACGCGAAAGCGUGGGGAGCAAACAGG